UUUAUAACAGAAUAUUAGAUAACUGAAAUGUUUGUCAAUAGUCUUUACAGUAUAAGCCCCCAAUAUUUUGCUGAGCCACUUAAAUUAAAAAAUUGUGGCAAAGAAAUAUUUAACCUCAGGUUGCACUUAGAUACACUUGGAUACAGCACAGCUACUUUCUUUUGUAAUGAUCUAUUUUGCCUUAACCUCCUUGUGGAGGAUGUCAGUGACAAUCUGCUGGACAUCUGUCAAGCAGUCAUCCUCGUGAUUGUGUUGGCCACAGGAUAUAAUAGUCCUAGUUAUAUAAUUUUUAAUUAGUUUAAUGUGAUAUUCAAAAGUUUUGAUAAAGCCAUAACCUCAGAAUUCACAGAAAUAAUCACUUGACAAAGAUUGUCGCCUGUGAGGAGUUCAUAUAAUCUAUUUGGUUCAGUUUUUAAAGUGAACUACUGAAAUAAAUAGAACGUAAAAUAUGCUCAAAGAUAUUUGCAAAGUGAUCUAAAACUUACUAAGUCACUAAAGGUGAUUCAUUUUUCAAAUGUUCCAUUUAUUCUGCAAGCAUCAGCGUAGCAAAUAAGUGGUUCUGAUGAAUAAAACCAUAGAUUACAAGAAAGCAACACCACAUAAACUUCAGGUUGCCUGACAGGAUUAAUUGCAGAGGAAAGAAGAAAAGCUUCUUUUUUUUUUUUUACUUGAGUGAAAUCAUUACAGUCUUAUCCUUUCAUGAUUGUUUUCUGACUCACUUCGGAAGGCUUUGUAAAAUUUUUAAAGUGGGAAGUUUAAAGGUUGAACUCACAGUUUGGUGAAGAUGUUAACAGCUCAAAGACCUGUGAAGUCUGAGUAUGAACCCUUAAUGUGCUAACAAGGCAGCAGAAAAGCAGAAAAGGCCACAAAAAGUCUGCUUUUCUGCUUGUUAACUUUCAUUUCAAAAGAGAAAAACUUAGCGUGUGAAACUGUUUUUGCUUUCCACUGAAAUUAAUAUUGCACAGCAAUAUGUCAGAUUCAAUCCAAAGAUUUCCAUCAGUAUAUCAUUUUCUUUAAUUCUCUGAUUGAUGAAUUAUCUCAUGACUUUCUCCCGGCACCCUCAGAGGCAUCACAGAGCUCAGGUUUGCAGGUAAAAUUAACAAUUUAAAACCCUGGUUUUCAAUGCCAUGCAAGUAACAAGUGGAGGAGCGUCUGCUUACAGCAUUUGAUGCUCAUCUUGAGUGUCAUUUUUUACCAGGGAGCAGGUCUGGAAUAUUAUUCCCAUUGUUGGAGUUGUAAGUGUGAAUUACAAAUCAUGGCUUUCUACUUAAAGUCGAAAGCAGGUAUUUAAAUAAACACACAAAACUUUA